rnacentral:rRNA from 1 species
CUGCUGCCUCCCGUAGGAGUUUGGGCCGUGUCUCAGUCCCAAUGUGGCCGUUCACCCUCUCAGGCCGGCUACUGAUCGUCGCCUUGGUGGGCCGUUACCCCUCCAACCAGCUAAUCAGACGCGGGCCCAUCCUGUACCACCGGAGUUUUUCACACUGUACCAUGCGGUACUGUGCGCUUAUGCGGUUUUAGCACCUAUUUCUAAGUGUUAUCCCCCUGUACAGGGCAGGUUACCCACGCGUUACUCACCCGUCCGCCACUAAGAUUAA